rnacentral:lncRNA from 1 species
GUUAUGAACCCAGGUGACUUGACUCAAGAGUUACAACCCCACUAAUGAGAAGUGAUUUUUGGCCAUGUUGAAGUCAUGACCGGUUUCCCUGGGAAGUCAACAGAAGUUUGGCAGGUGCGUGAGCUCUGCAGGGCAGAGAGCAAGAGGAGAGGUGAGCUCAGAAGGUAAUCGUAAAAUUUGGACACCUCUCUGCAGCUUUAAUGACUCAAACCUAAAAUAGUACUCAGGGAAAGACAGAGUUUGGAAGAAUUUUGAAUUGGGAGUUGGCUAUUUUGGUUGUUUUCUUCUGAUCUGGAAACACUGGGGGAGGGGUGGUUCUUCUACUGAAGUAAACAGGAAUUGUACACAAAGCAGGACUCACAUAAGAGUGAAGGGAUGUCCUACCAAUGCCCACGAUGACCCACUAACAUCCAGAUUUCUACAGUGGAGUUCCCUGGCCUUUACAUAUCAGUGGGCAAGUCCAUGAGAAACAAUGUGGCAGGUGGACUAAGGAAAAAUGGAAGCAUGAUGUGGAUUUUCUUUUCUUUGCAUCUCUUUGUUUUGAACAUACUGCUCUUUAUCAAAAUGCCUUUCUUCAAUUUCCUCAGCCCAGCAGUUUGAAUAUUUGCAUGAAGUAGGCACAUAUCACUACAUAUGAACCAUGAAAUGUAUUUGAAAAUAAAUGUUUUAAUUAAAAUUGACAUUUCUGAG